CCGCGCACGCGCGGCGGGUGCCGUGACGCCGGGGUCGCGCGCGGCGGUGACGCGCGUGGCGGAGCCGCUGGAAGCGCCGCCCGGAGCCGGGAAGAGCUGGAAGCGGCGCCAGUAUACAUGAAGCUCAAGAUCUGAACCUGCUAUGACUGACCCAGACGUCGUCACUGAGGUCCCAGCAGCUCUCAAACGCCUUGCCAAAUAUGUGGUGCGUGGCUUUUAUGGCAUUGAACAUGCUUUGGCUCUGGACAUUCUCAUCAGGAACGCCUGUGUGAAGGAGGAGGACAUGCUAGAGCUCCUUAAGUUUGAUAGGAAGCAGUUGCGGGCUGUUCUCAACACCCUCAAGGGUGACAAGUUCAUCAAAUGCAGGAUGAGGGUCGAGACGGCUCCGGAUGGCAAAACCACCCGUCAUAACUACUACUUCAUCAACUACCGCCUUCUGGUGAACGUGGUGAAGUACAAGCUGGACCACAUGAGGAGGAGGAUUGAGACGGAUGAAAGAGACUCCACCAAUCGCGCCUCUUUUAAAUGUCCCAUUUGCUUCAGCACUUUCACAGAUUUGGAGGCCAACCAGCUGUUUGACCCCAGGACAGGAACUUUCCGCUGUACCUUCUGUGAGACUGAAGUGGAAGAAGAUGAGUCGGCAAUGCCCAAAAAGGAUGCAAGGACACUCGUUGCAAGAUUUAAUGAGCAGAUUGAGCCCAUCUAUGCGCUGCUUCGUGAGACGGAAGACGUUAACUUAGCCUAUGAAAUCCUGGAGCCAGAACCCACAGAGAUUCCUGCCCUGAAGCAGAGCAAAGAGCGUGCAGCUGGUGCUGGUUCAGGGACAGCAGCCGGCCUUGCAAGUGGACACCAUCGGGAAGCAUGGACUACAAAAGGACCAUCAUAUGAGGACUUGUAUACCCAGAAUGUUGUCAUCAGCAUGGAGGACCAGGAGGAUCUUAACCGGUCUGCAAGUGAAGGAAAGCCAGCCAGAGAGAGACCAAUUUGGCUGCGUGAGAGCACGGUGCAGGGGGCUUAUGACCCUGAUGAAAUCAAAGAUGGGGGCCGGGAUCUGGAUGCUUUCCAGGAGCGUGAGGAGAGCCGGGCAGCACUGGAUGAUAAUGAGGAAGUGAUGCGUGCCCUGCUUAUCCACGAGAAGAAGACGCCUUCUGCUUCCACAGUCACUGUUGGAGGUACCGCUCCUCUCUCCGGUGGCAACGCUAGUGACUCUGAGAGCGAGACAAGCGAGUCAGAGGAGGAAUCCCCUCCCCGCGCUGCUGCCACGGCCACCACAACGUACGGGCUGGAGGAGGAGGAUGAGGAUGAAGAAUUUGAGGUGGUGGCAGAAGACCCCACUGUCACAGUGGCUGGGCGCCCACACUCUUACAGCCAAGUGAGCCAGCGCCCUGAGCUGGUGGCCCAGAUGACGCCAGAGGAGAAGGAGGUUUACAUUGCCAUGGGACAGCGCAUGUUUGAGGACAUGUUUGAUUAACUGAUUCCUCCUAUGGCGUUUUUUAAAAAGUGACUUUUUAAGCCAGAGACUCCCUAGUAAAACAGAAGACCGAAGCGCGUCUUUCCUCCCCUGUGUGCAGGGACACUGCGGCUCAGCACUGCUAAUCUCAGGCAUCUUGCUCACCAGAGCAGGGGAGCAGGAAAGCUGCAUGUGCCAAAACAGGUAGGGAAGGACAAAUCUCAGAAGUGAAGAUGCUUGCAAAGUAAAAAUGUUUCAGGCUGCGCUGCACAGGCACUGCUUUAACUUUCUCCAAGGCCCUAGCAGCUCCUUUUCCCGAUUGCUUAGAGUUGUUUUUUGUUGCAGAUCCUAGUGAAGUCUACAUCCCUGCCCUCAGAGGACAUAAGGGCUCCAUAGUCCGAGCAGAGUGCUCUGCAGAGGAGGGCCUGAAGCAGAGCUCUACACACAUGCCAGGAGGGAAAGAACAGCCUCUGCAAGCAAAGCCAGGCACUGCCAGCAGGAGCCAUGGCCAUGCUGCAGGAUUCAUGGAACACGUUAACAGAAAGAGCUCUACGUGGAGCAUAGUCUGCUAGAGAUGGUUACUUUCCUUCCUUCCUGGCCUGGCCACUUCCCCCAGCCCUCCCCUUGUAUUUUGAAGAGGAAAAAUAUGAAAAGUAAUGAAUUUUUGCUUUAAAGAGGAGGAACAAAACAGAUGAUGCACAAGCCUGUAGCUUAAUGGCAAGGAAUCAAGGAGAAAACAUGGUUGCAGGUGGUAGUCAGCAGUUUACUGGAGGUGGAAAAAUUGUUGGAGCUGUGAACAAACACCCUCUUCCAAAUUCAUCAGGAAGGCUAUUGCUCAAAGGUACGUACUUCCCUCCUCCUUGACACCCACUCUGCUGCCUGAUUUCCCAUGCUGGAAGGUGGCAUUGUUCACGCACUUGUUUCAGCCAGCGUGGGAGGAGAUCUUUCCCUGGCUGUCUCUAUAAUACACUUCCAGGCAACUAGCAAGGGCACUAGGAGAGGUGUAGAAUGGUGUAAAUCCAUCUAGUGCCAUUACAUGUCAGAUGCUCUCUGAAGAGGAGAUCCAUUUGGAACACCAGCCAUGGUAAGUACAUUGGCAUUACUACAGUGUAUUUUAGAGGUGCUUGUUCCCUGUGUCCUGGUUUUGGGCCUAUAAAUACCAUCGGUUCCAGUGGUUAAAAAUUGCAUAGCUAGCACAAGGACUUUGUUAGUAGCACUGCUAGGAGCUUAAAACAUGAGCCAGGUGUGGCAUGGAUGACGUGGGUCAGAUCUGCUAACACAGAGGUAUUUGAAAAUACAUGAACCUCAGUGUGGUCUUGCUACUGGAGUAGGACAAAAAUCCAUCUUCUCAGGAGAGGUCACACAAGAACACGGUUUGGUCCAUUUCUCCUGAGAAGGUCUGGAGCAAGUAUGUGACUUCUCUAUCUCCUACUGGUUUUUGUUCUCAGUUGCAUUCUAUAUGAUUUUGUGAGUCUUGUGGGUGGCAUCCUUCCUAUGGUGGGGGAGUUGGAACUAGAUGGUCUUUAAGGUCCCUUCCAACCCAAACCAUUCUAUCAUUCUGUGAUUUUAUGAGUUCUCUCUUAUCUUUAUGUUGAAUGACAAGAAAAAAAGAAAAGUUAUUUCUUUGUGAAAUUGCAAACUAGCCUCCACUAUAUUCCUAUAGUGGAGAUGGGAUCAAGUCAAGUGGGAAGUGAAACUAAUGAUACCUCUGCCUUGUACAAAGCCUGGUGAAAAAUAGCCAAACACAGGACAAGUGUUGGAGAAUUAAUCAAAGAGGUCUUCUGUCAUGCCCAAGCAACCACUCUCAACCUGAGAACAGAACCAUACCUGAGGAACAGAAAGGUGGAAGCACAUACUAGACUCUGGAAGGUGAGAAUACACAAAGUGCAAGCUAGAAGAAUGAACCGAAAUCAAUUAAUUGAAGUUCAACCUCAAUAAAUAUAAAGGGAAGGAUGAAUAAACAUGAGUACAGAGAAAUUAAGAGGUCACAGAAAAGAGUCCUAGGGUUAAUGAGAACAUACUCAAUGGGGAAUUGCUAGAUGAGGCUGGCACAAAUACACAAAAUGUUCUAUCAGAUGGAUAUUGGGAUUAAUAGGUGUCAUGACUUUAAGCAAGUAAUGUAACUGGAGAGUAUUGAAGCAUGUUUUGGUCAGCACAAUUCCAAAAAUACAAAAGCCAAAUGGAUAGAAACGAGAUGAAAGAAUUCAAGAAUCAGCAAAUCUGGACCCAAUUUGUUUGUUAAAAAACCCCAAACACUCAGUUUAAAGUUUUCUUAAUACUGAUACAAGUAAGUCUCCUAACUGUGGAGCUUGGAAGAAUAGGACCUUGGUUCCCUUCAUGAGGGAAAAUGGAAACAACUGUUUGUAAUUAGCCACAUUUUCAGGAAUUUUUGUUUAUUUCUGGCUUCAUAUGCUGUGUUCCACUUUAUUUACAAACACUAAUAUGUUAUUGCUGUGACUGCCUGUUGAAAAGCACAGGGAACAUACAUAGAUGCUUUAGAGAGGGUGAACCACAGCUUCGCAGUAACUUUCCGGAAUGGGCACAGGGAAGAAAAGUAUUAGGGGUAGUAGGGACGAGAGCUCUGCCUACAAGCUGCUGAAUCACUGUCAGGAAGCUCACACCUUCCAGACUCAGACAAGGCCCUGGGACAAUUCUUGUACCUCCUAAGGCUGGCCUGGUGAUGGUAAGGUGACUUCACAGCAAAGAUCAAGUCAGACCAUUUGCAGAGAUGCACGUGACGUGUGAUACCUGACUGAACCAGCACCAGUGAUGUGUUCUCUGAACUCAGGAGGGCAGACCAAGCCAAAAGUGAUGAGCCACACCAGAAGGCACAGAUUUAGCUGAAUUGAAGAAGGCAGAGAAAAGUCUAUGUGUCUCUGAUACCUGUAACUGUGAGUAAGUAGGAACAACUGUUUCUGUGCUUCCAUUUAUGCAGCAGUAGCUGCCGUACAAUGUCGAGGUAUCCAGUACAGUUUCAGUUUAGGAUGGAGGCGAGCAUAAGCUACCCAUUUGUCAAGAAACAGAAUGGGAUGGCAGAGGAAACAAAAAAAAACCAAGGGACAAUUAAGUUAAAGAAAUGUAAAGCUAAAACACAACCAGGAUACCUUGCAGAAAUGGAGAGACACUGUAGACAGGAUGGUGAAAUUUUCAUCUUUAGUUAUUUUAAAAUUAGUUUCUUACAUUGGUCACUACAGAAAAAUCUUCUGAACAAGCUGAACACAAACAAUUGGCUUCUUAUUCUAAAACAAAUUUAACAGCAACAGCCCAAAGCAAAGCUGACUCUGGAAACAAAUUACAACUGAGCUUUGGUUGACUUCAGCUCUUGAAAACUUCACUCUUUCACUGAUGGUGGUCACCAGAGAUAUACCCCAUUACCACAGCUACAUCUACACUGCUAAAGGCCAUCCACCCUAAGAGACACUUACUCUGAUUUCCAAGCCAAGUCAUGUAGUGGAGCAGUCCCCCCAGUUUCUGGUACUUCCCUCUAGAGAACAGCCAUGCGCUCACCCUGGGCAUCCUCUGAAUUCCCCACAGAACUCCCGGGGCCCUGGAACACAACCCGUUAUGCUGUUUUUCUUUCUUUGUCAAGCCAAUGUGCACUAAAACAAAAGCCCUUUUGCUGCAGCCCCACCUGUUUUUAAGUAGGAACAUGCCAUAAAGGUUGGUGGAGGUAUUUAAUUCUUCAGUCCCAGCUCUGUUUGCCUACAUAGUGACUCACCUCACAUGCUUCAGAUCAGCUUCUUUUGAGGAGAGGAGGUGUGAUACAGGUCCCACUGCCAUGCUGAAGAUGACACUCUGUUAUGCUUGCAAGACAGGUCUUAAUUACAAAGUGAAAAUUGUUAUUUCGUGCUAAAGUGCUGGGACAAGAUAAAUGAAAGCAGAGGAAAUAUUCAGUAACUGCUGAAAAGGACACACAACACCCAUACACAAGGAGAUGUCUCAUUAAUUACUUGCUUUAGUCCCCUUUGGGCUCAGAACACAGCAGCAAUAGAAUUACUUUUGUUAGCAGCUGUGGGCUCUGUUUUGACUGAGAUACUUAUUUUCUCUUUAUACUUUACUGGUUUUUGGUGUGUUUCUUUUUGGUGUGGGAAUUAAUUGCCUACAAUUUACCUAGAGCCUGUACUUAAUUCACAUGUCAAUCAUUCAUGUUUCGUGAUGUUUCAAAGACAGCAGCAGAAAGGAGGACUACUAAGAACAGAGCAAUCCUUUCAACAUACGAAGAGUCAUUCAGGACUAGAGUUGUUAAAAGCCAGCCCAAUAAGGUAUGUGAUAUUCAGCGAUUGAAUGCCACGCAAAAAAACCAGUACACUUGAAGCAGUAGUUGUCACUGGACUGAAUUCCAGAGAAAAUCUCUCCUCCUAGAGACCAGCUUUUUCGUUCUGCUUUACUUGUCCAAUAUUUUCUAUUGCAAAUCUUGAAGAAAUCUCAGAAAAAAAUAAUAGAAGCUACUGAGGGACUAAGAUGUUGUAAAGCAAACAGUAUUUUUUCCACAAACUCUGUCCACAGAGUGACAACGGGCCCUAACUUGUGACAUCACCUCCUAAACCCCGUCAAAAUGUUUGAAAAAUAAUUGUGGUCCUAGAGACUUGUCUCAGAACUGCUUCUUGUAAAUGGAGUUUGUUACUCCACUAAAAACAGCUUAGCCCUAAGAAUCAUCUACAUUCAUACCUUUUGCCUGGGAGGGAGUGUCAGGAGGGAACAUGAGUAAUUGCAGUGGCUCUGGAGCUAGGGCCCAGAAUGCAGGGUUGCCUGUGCUGUCCUCUUGCUCCUUCCCACCUCGUUCCCAAAAAUAAUGGAACACGAGACAGAGUAAUUUGGUCACCUCUCCAUCGUGCUUUGUCACCGCUACCCAUGAUCUUAGCAGUUUAUAUUUAUCCAAGGAGAGAGGAGGUGAAACAAACAGAAGGAAAGAUGGAGGAGUGGAUGAGAAACUAACAAUUCCUGAAGCUGUAGAACCUGGCAGGCUUUGGUUUUAUGGCAUCAUGGUGGAUGGCUGCACAAUGUAGAGCUGGCUUCUGUUGUUAGCAAAACUAUCAGCAAUUUUCCAUCCAGCUGGGAAAGAUUUUCUGUUAAUGCACAUCAUGAUUUUAAUAGCAUGUGUGUAGGUGGUGAAGAAUUGAAUUUUUUUAAAACUUUAUAAUCAAGGUGAGAGGAGGCAGGCACAGCACAUGAGAGAAACAUGCGGUGUCAACUCAUCUAUUAUCCCCCAGGUCACACCGGCAGAUCUUUCCCACCUCCCACCUACUGACUGGUCUUAAAGUUGAGAAAUGUACCCUGCUCUGAGCACUUGGCUUUUUUAUUUAUUUAUUGUAAAAGCUUAGCUAAAGGUGGAGAAGAAGGAUCAUUGAGUUUAUCUGUUAAUCUCAGAGGUUAAAAGUGAUUGCUCACACUUCGUAUCCAAAAAAAAUAUCUACAUGCAGCCAUAUAUAUAUGUAAGGUGUGCCUGUGGAAAGGAAUCUGAGCAGUGUUUGCUUAGUACAAGAUGAAGAGGAAUGUGCAAAAAAGCAAAAUCCAACAAGACAGGGCAAUUAGUAAUUUUACCGUUAAUACAUGUAAAUGCAAUAUAAAACUUGAGCUUUGCACUCUGGUGACUUGGGUUUAAAGCACAGCCUGCUUCAUCUUCACAAGAAUGUUUUCACUCUCCUCUAAUGACAGGGACACCAGUGCCAUUGAUGCUUUUUGUUGUGCUUUGCCCAGUGGCUGCUGAAAGGGGCCGCUUCCCCUGCCCUGGCCAUGCACUCCUGCGACUCCCCUGCAUUAGCUCUAAGCUCUAGAGGUUGUGCAAAGGGAGGGCAAGCUGAGUGAACAAGCUGAUCUGCCAGAAAACUUAAAAAGCCAAAAAGCAAAUAGUUCCAGCACAUUGAUCUGCCUUACACGUGACCUCACAAGGUCUGGUACAAGGGAUGUAGCAGGCAGGGGAGGCAAGGAAGAGAUGGCUGGUGUAAUGUCAGAGUAAGUUAGGCCACGACUGACUUGUCAUCAUCAACACAGAGCCCAACCGAGUGGUCACGCUUGACAACUUCGAGAUGCUCAGAGCAGUAGUCUUGUUGUUUGGGGCUCUUUUCCUCCUUAUAAAGUAAAGAGAAGAUUGAUUGAAAAUUCCUGUGGUUGGCCUGGUGCCAGUCCCAUAAAUAGUAUGAAAUCAGCCCUGUUCUAAGUUGCUGGCCCACAAAUGUGUAUUCCGCUGUACUCACCAACUGGGAAGGACAGAGAGCCACUCAUCACACUGACAGUCCACUGUACAUCUUCAAAUACAGCACAUCAUAUACUGUCUCCAAGGAUGGCACGGCAUCCUGGUUUCUGUGCUUCUGCUUCAGCCACAUUUGGUUAGGAUGCCAUAAAUUCUCCAACUCCUUCAAUGUGGCUUUUAUGUCUGAAAUGUUUUGUGGUUGUUUCAUGGCCUUGGCCCUAAAACUCUUAUUUCCUUAUUACCCUGAGGGUAAUUUCAUCCACCCAGAUUCAACAAGCAUCACUAUACUGACAAACAUAGUACUGACUGGUGUCACUCUCCUGUCCAAACUAACAUCUCAGCUUUCAUCUGACAUAAUUUUAGGGCUAGCUAGCUGUCAAAUUCAAUUCAGUAUGGCCAAAACAGAAAGCUGAUUUUGACUUUUCCCCUCCUCCCCUCCCUUAUGUUUUUCCCCUCCUUCUCUAUUACUCCCUCUUCUCCCCCCCAAAACAUUGAAAACUUAUGGCCUCCUCCUAAUAUCAAUAUCUAGUUUGAAUCAGCUUUCUCACACAUCUAUCACCCCAGUUACAUUCAAGGCUUGCUGUCUCCCAUUGCAUAUUAUUCUAAAAUCCCCCCUGUCCUGUUCAUUGACUCAACUACAUCUCCCAAAUGCAGUUUAUCAGCUCCUCUUUCUAAUAAGCUAGUGAGAAUAGAAAUUUUGUUGCAUUAUUACCACAUUAGUAUCUUUCUCCUGACCAGCCAGAGCAGAUUGUAUGGCAAAAGAAGAGAGUGUGGCCCAAAGAAGACAUUUCCAAAGACACUUGUGAUGCACCCAUUAAAAAAAGCACAAGAGCAUCAUGCUUCAGGAAUUCUGUAUCUCUGAGUUUACGCCAGGCAAAAGCCAAGACUCGGUAUGUUUUUAUACUUGAAGUUGUCAAAGCUUACUUAAAAUUAAUACAAUAUUUUUAUCCCAGCAUGAGGUUGUAAAUAUAGUGUUCUGUAUUCAUAAGUGAUUUUAAUGUAGUAUCAGAAAGACUGUGAUAUAGAGCCUUACCUAUCUACCAGUAUUUUACAUGCAGUCAUUCCUAGAAGUUGGAAAAACUUCAAAAGCAAGUUGAAGUCAGCUUAAUUUGGCUACCUUUCCAGAGGUAAAAGAGUGUCUAAAUAAAGUAUAAUGACCCCUUUCUUCCAGGAAUGAUUUUCGUGAGGUAGGAUUCCCCCUGAGCUCAGUGAACAGUCUUUGGGGAUUUCCUUGCUGGAUGAGUCUAGUGUGGAGGCUGUGUGAGCAAAUGCCUUAGAGGAAGUGAGAACAGAAUAGCUGCUUAAGAAGAUUAAUGACUGGAUUCCUUAAAGCUAGCUUAUGGGAAAGGUGAUCUCUUAUGUGGGAGCCAAAGACAAUUAAUUAAAAUGGGUCAAUUAGCCUGUCAAAUACAACAUGUAUCCAGAGUUCAAGCUUUUAUGUAUUCACACCAGAAACUGUAAAAUCAAGGGAGAGGGAAGACCUUUUUGAAUCCUACAGGGCAGAAGAUGAAUAUGAAUUGUUGAAGAGGUAGAAUACUUGCCUCAGCCUCCACCAACCCCACACUUGUGAAUGGGUAAAUGAUGUGCUGGGUCCUGCCACUGGUGUACACCAGCAACUGCCUGCAUCUGCAGCAUCCUUCAGUGUAACAGAGCCAGAACAAACUGUAGAGAUAGAAAAACGUGCAAGUUAACACUUGGAUGCCAAGUGCCCACCAAAGCCGCUCUGCCACUCCCGUCCUCAAUUGGACAGGGAAGAGAAAAUAUAAUGAAAGCUCAUGAGUUGAGAUAAGGGGUGAGGUCACUCGCUGAUUACUGUCAUGGGCAAAGCAGUCUUCAUUUGGAGAAAUUGAUUUAAUUUAUUACCAAUCAAAUCAGAGCAGGAUAAUGGGAAGUAAAACAAAUCUCCAGCAGCACAAGGAGACAGGAAUGGGGGUUACAGUCAGUUCAUCACAUGUUUUGCUGCUGCUUCCUCCUCAGGGAGAAGAGUCCUUUCCCUGCUCCAUUGCAGGGUUCAUCCCACAGAAGACAGUUCUCCCAAACUUCACCAGCAUGAGUCCUUCCACAGGCAACAGUUUGUCACAAACUGCUCCAGCACAGGUAGCUUUCCAUGGGGUGCAGUCCCUCAGGAACAGACUGUUCCAGCGUUGGUCUCCCACAGGGUCACAAGUCUUGCCAGCAAACUUGUUCCAGUGUGGGCUCCAUUCUCCACAGGUCCACAGGUCCUGCCAGGAGUCUGCUCCAGCAUGGGCUUCCCAUGGGGACACAACCUUCUUCAGGCAUCCACCUGCUCUGGUGUGGGGUCCUCCAUGGGCUGCAGGUAGAUCUCUGCUCCCCCAUGGACCUCCACAGGCUGCAAGGGGACAACCUGCCUCAGCAUGUUCUUCACCUGGAGCACCUCCUCCCCUUCCUUCCUCGCUGACCUUGGUGUCAGAGCUGUUUCUCUCACAUAUUCUAACUUCUCUCUUCUCUGGCUGCAAUUCUUCUGCCCAAUGACUUUUUUCCCUUCUUAAAUAAGUUAUCACAGAGGUGUGAUGGGCUCAGCCCUGGCCAGCAGUGGGUCUGUCCUGGAGCUGGCUGGCUUUGGCUCUUUUGGCCAUGGGGGAAGCUUCUGGCAGCUUCUCAAAGAAGCCUCUCCUGUAGCCCCCACCCCCUCUACCAAAAUCUUGCCACACAAACCCAAUAAAACACUGAAUAAAAACCCAUUUCUGAGGUGGAGUCAAAUUCCAGCUAUAUAAGCAAAGAGGGAACUGUAAGGAACUAGAGUAUUUUUUUUCUUCUAAGUGUGGCAUCGGUAGCAUCAGAAUAUAAAAACCCAAAAACAUUGAAGAUGCAGAACAGAUUGGAUUUCAGCACAAAUCUCUGGAAAGAAAAGACAAACCCACCUUGACAGAAUCAGUUUUGGUGAGUCUGAACUAAAUGCAGUGAUGAAAAUACUAAGUCAGUCAGUUAUGUGAUAUAUUUUAAAGAAUAGUCUGAUGAGAACUAGAAACCACCUUUGUUCUAUCAAUCACUUGAAAUGCAUUUCCUUCCAAAUGUGUCUAGAAUCUUCACAAGCAUCAGUGUAUGUAAAUUCAGAGAUGAAAGCAAUAAUUCAUACUGGUAGGAAAGCAUAAGGCAUUUCUAAGUAUGAAUGCCAAUCAUUCUCCAUAGGUUAUGUUGCUGAGCAAUGAAUAGGAUGUGAACCUGAUAAAAACUGAACAUUUCAGAAGGCACACAAUCCAUAAAAUGUUCAAAAUGAGGGAGAACUUUGGGUAUACAACUUGCCUGUAAGCACACAGAGGCAAAGGAAGGGCUGGGAUGCUGUGUUCGUGUUAGCCAAGAAUGGAAAGUUUAGACACGUCUCCCCUUGGCUUUUCAAAAAAUCCUGGGAUCACAAUGAAAUGGUCAGAAUCUGUGCUGUCUGGGGGACAAAAGGCUUUGAUGAAUCACUCAAACUCCUACAGCCCAGGCAGCUAUGCAAACUUAAAUACCAAAUAAAUUACUACUUGUAUCUGCUAUACAUACUUACCUUCAAACUUGCCAACAGGUGAAACAAAUUACUAAAAUACAUGACAAAUGAGAGAAAGGUAGAAUACUUUAGUUUAGCUGUGUGUUAUUUAAUAACCGCUAGAUUCUUAGACCAGGAUUUAUAGACUUAUUUACUUUACAGAGAUGAGAAAAUAAUUCUCAAAAAUACGGAAAACUGAAUUCUAUUAGGAAGAAACUGUCAAAAUGCUCCAUAUAAUUUAUCAGUUUGAACACUUUCCAAAUGAUAGAGCCAAAGAUUAAAAGUGAUUUUCCUUGUGGAUAGAGAUGAGCAUGAUGUGACGUACACGAGUGGGCUAUGCAAUUACUUGCUAGUCACUCAGUAGAACAAUAGACAGAAUGACUUUUUAAUUCUUUUCCUGGAUUUGGGCAAUAAAGAAUGGUUUUAUGACACAACUGGGAUAAAAGAGCACAUCCAUCUGGUGUAUCCCACCUAGAAGGCAGUGGGUCUGCCUGAGAGAGACUUACAUUUGCAACAUGGGACAUGGUCUCUACCAGGUAUUUCAGAAAACUCCUCCUGCACCUUCUUGGGAAACUCAUUUGGUUCAAUGGUCAUCGCACAAAACUUGAGAUGUCAGAUAGCUGUGAUUAAUUCUCCACUGAUAAAGGCAUCAAACCUCUAUAAAGGACAGGAUUGGAAGUCAGUGACAGCUAUUUUGGACUAGUUUAAGUCAAUAGGAAGACUGAACAAAUAUGCCAGGUUUAAAAGAUGACUCUAGUAGAAAUAAAAUGCAAGCAACAUUUGGAAAAAAACAAUUCUGAUGUUUCCAAAUCAAACAUUUCCUAUUUUAAUUUACAUUUAGAUAUUUAUUUUAAUAUAUUUAUAUUAUAUAUUAACAGAUAUAUUAACAUUGUUUUGGGCUUCUGAACUGGAAAACAAGUUAUUCCAGGCACUCUAAAUAGGAUAUACUGUUUAUACACUGAAGACUUACGCCCAAAUCUGAGGUAGACAGUAGGUGUUCUCAUUUCCUUCGGGCUUGAAGAAAUGGCCAUUUAUAGGAUUAUACACACACAAAUUGCAAAGGGACAGACUUUAUGUUCAGCAUUAUGUUGCAGAUCAGCAUGGCCCUAACUUCUUAGCCGGAAAAGCGCUCUGCAAAUAUCCACUGCCUGAAGGAUGGAGAUGGGACAGCAAGGAUUCAAAGCCUCUGAGACAACUCAGUCCAAUCCAAUACAGGCACUACACACCAAAUUCCUAUUUGAUAUAUCACAUUGGCAUAAAGAAAAUCCCUGACUGAGAGACAGAACAAGGGCUGAAGAAUAAUACAGCUGUCAUUCCUGGCAUGAAGAAACAUUUUUUAAAGUUCUAGCUCUGAUUGGAUUUUUACUGCUGACAUUUCUGCCAGACUUCCUUUCAACGAAGCAUCGAGACUAGGAUGGAAUAUUUCAUAGGAUACUUGCAGAGGAGACAGAAUGGUCUCAUCUGCCUUCACUUUGCUCUUAAAUUAAGAUUAAAGGGGGGAAAAGGAACAAUGGAGGGAGGGGGAAAGGAAGGCUUAAGAGCCAUUACAGUGAUCAAAUUCACCCACAGACUAGCGCAGCCUGACACAAUUCUUAGACAGCUGAUUAGGUGGUUUUCAGUCUUUCUGCAAUGAGGGAUCUGGCUGUGGUCAGGAUGUGGCCCUGAUCUGGGAGAUGGUUUGUGGGGGAUGGUUCCACAGAGUAUUAGCGAGAUUUUCUUCAUAGACUUCAUAAGAGGGUUGAAAGUCAGACUGCAGGCAGCAUUUGUUCCCUGGAGUCUUCUGAUGAGGCUGUUUAUUAUGAAGUAUUGCUUAGUCGAGAAGAGACAAGUGUAUUGGUCUUGCAGGUCAACAGUAAUGUAUUUGCAGAACAUAGCAGUUGUUAAAAAUGAAAGAUGCAGACAUAAAACUGAAUGCUCUUCAUGACAAAAGGAUUGAAAUACUAGAACGUGGGAUCCAUUUUCCCUUUGCUCUUCUUUUCUCUCUCUGCUUUAAUCUUUCCAACUAUUGUUUUAUGCAAAUAUCUACACUGUUUAAGGCCAUCUAUAUGAAAGGCCAGUCACCUGCUUUUGAACCAAGGUUAUAACAAGUCUAGACUUUUCUAUGAGGAUUUUUUUGCACAGAGGCCAAGGAUGUGAUAUCUGAUAUUUUGUGAACUGACACAUUAUAUUUUUGGUUCCUAUGAUUCAUCAAACUACUUUGAGUGAAUGGACCUUUUUACCCUAUAAUUUAAACUGAAGGAUAUUGAAGGGCAACUGAAAUUUUCCCCAGCUAAAAAGAAGUCUCUUUUCUGUGAGUAUUAGAAGAAACCUGCUCAAAAAUGCAAACUGUGCUGAUGGCUUUUCUAUAGAGCAAGUGCAGACUCAUUAAAUGUAUUCUUUUUUUCUUUCUAACUCCUUAUGCUCUUCUUCUAAUUGAAUAUGAAUUCAAAGAUUAUGUUUCAAACUUGCAAGGCUGUGUGGGUUUGAAAGCAACCGAGACAAGUAUCCCCGUCCUAACUGAGACCUUUGUUAGUACAGAAUCUAGUAAAACAAGCUAACAAUUUGGAAUACGUUGGCUGUCACUUCAAAUGUCAGUGAUAAUUUGCAAAACAUUCAGAGCAAUAAUGGGAAAAGGCACAAAACGUCAAAUUUGUAGCAAAGCUGACAACAAAAAGAAUAUUCACUGUGAAUUACAGGCUUCCUGACUUGCUAAAGCUCCUACUGAUUCUGCUUUAAUAAAGGAUAUUCUUCUUUCAAGGGAUUUAGAUACAGUAGAUUGUCUAACAUGCUUAACUGAUGCUUGAAGUUCUUUGUCUGAAAGCUUAUCCUUGAUGACUUCGAAAUCUCUGGUCUCUUGCUAAUGUUUUUGGGAGGGUAAUUGGUCAGUUUGUGAUCUGGCUAUAUAUUACCUGGAUAGGUACACACUUGGUCAAGGACCCCACCAUUUCUUUCUACUGGCUAUCCCAUUUUCACAGAUUUUUUUUUUUUUUUGAAAGCUGUUCUGAGAACUAAUAACAACUGUCUUUGGAAAGGCAUUGGCUCCUGCUGUUUUGCAUCUACUAGAGAAGACGAAAAUGUUCAGAAUGAAAAAUAUUAACAGAAAAUUCAGAAAAGGUAUAUAUUGGUCAGACAUAUGCUUGAUGGAAAUUAAAGCUUCAGAGUAGGAGAAUAACAA